CGAGCGGGUCUGCUGCCUCCACCGCCCAGUCUCCGCUCAGGUGUCACUGUUGCUGGCAGCCCAGGAUUAGGGAAGGAGAAUGGGCAGGGGGUCGCGGCUGGAAGGAGAGAGGCUCUACCAUGCCUCCCCCAGCCCCAUUUGGCCUCCUCCCCUGGACCCCGCACACACACCCCGCGCCGCUCUGGCAACCGUGCCAGGUCGGCUGGGUUAAGCCGCAGUGCUUGGGCCACCCUCCAGGGCAGUCAUCCUCCGUGUGCUGGCUCAGCAUUCCAGCCUGCUUCAAUCAGUCAGAAGCACCCAUAUCAGCAUUUCACAGUCACCCAGCAGGAGAGGAGAGCCCUGGAGAGCUGCGUUCCAGCAAUCAAAUGCGUCUGCCCGGAAGUGGCACUCACAAAUGACUACAUUUGACUGGAACUCCUCAUUUGGCCACACCUUAUUUCAAGGGGGCACAGAUGCAAGAAAUAGAACAUUACCAGCAGCCCAGAAACACCACUCUCCAUCUUGGACACCUUCCCAAUUAUUAAUCCCUUCCUUCUUCCUAAAGGUAACCAAUCUUAGGGUUUACAA